rnacentral:misc_RNA from 1 species
GUAGGUGAACCUGCGGAAGGAUCAUUACUGAGUUGUCGACACGAGUUGUUGCUGGUCUUCAGAUUUGGGGGCAUGUGCACGCUCUGUUCACACAUCCACUCACACCUGUGCACCCUCUGUAGUUCUAUGGUCUGGGGGACACGCCGUCUUCCUCCUGUGGUUCUACGUCUUUACACAUACACCGUAGCAAAGUCUUAUGGAAUGUGCGCCGCGUUUAACGCAAUACAAUACAACUUUCAGCAACGGAUCUCUUGGCUCUC